rnacentral:rRNA from 1 species
GUGCCAGCAGCCGCGGUAAUACGUAGGGUGCAGGCGUUAAUCGGAAUUACUGGGCGUAAAGCGUGCGCAGGCGGCCUCUUAAGUCAGAUGUGAAAUCCCCGGGCUUAACCUGGGAACUGCGUUUGAAACUGGGAGGCUAGAGUGUGGAAGAGGGGGGUGGAAUUCCAGGUGUAGCAGUGAAAUGCGUAGAGAUCUGGAGGAACACCGAUGGCGAAGGCAGCCCCCUGGGCUGACACUGACGCUCAUGCACGAAAGCGUGGGGAGCAAACAGGAUUAGAUACCCCCGUAGUCC